AAUACUAUAAAAUAUCAUUAACAAUAAUAUAGUAAAAAGGAACAUAAUAAAUUAGUAAAACAUAAAAAGUGGUUAAUAACAAUGUAUAAUAUAUGAUAAAAAGCAGAAUAAUAAAAUAAUGACUAUCCAAGAACAUUUAACACGGGAGACGGACGCUGCCAACGUCUAGCUAUGCAUGUACUCAUUUAUGUAUGUAACUAAAGGAUGUCAAUCAGAAAUCUAGCGUAUUAUAAAGAACUUUCCCCGAUGACUUGCAAAACUCGGAAUACGAAAAUAAAUUCUUUAUACAGGCGGCGAUAACAUUCAAAUAAUGUCAUAUUAUUUAAAUCAUGUUUGUUUUUUUGGACUGUAACAUCUGUAUAAUGUCAAAGGUUGCAAAUGAAUCGACCAAUUUGUUUACCUUCACUGUUAUAAAGCGGUAGAAUGUUUAGUUCAAGUAAUUAUAUGCCAUAUUAGGUAUCUCUAAUGUCCAAUAUUCUAAUGUAUAUAAGUAUAUAAAAGCAUAAAUGCAGUCAAUUAAAUCAGAGAGCAGGGCGAUAACCGAACUAUAAAUAGAUAAACGUACUCGAGUUAGAUAUGAAUGCGUGUUUUAAUGAUAAGAGGAAAGCAAAUAGGCAACGGUUUGACGGGGACAGUCCGAUUGGCUCGGCGCGAGCCGCGACCCGUGGCCUGGAGCAGCACGUAGCACGGACUCGCUUACGUAAACAUAACUGAAUACAAUAUAUACAAUUAAACCACAAUAAACCGCUAGUGAAGCCGCUGCACCGCCAGCUAAACUGUUAUGAUUAAUAUUAACUCUCUACGUAUCCACAUCACUUCAAUCCAGUAGUGUGGCGCAAUGACUAAGCCCUGCGAGGCGGCGCCACGUCGCCGGCUGCCGUCGGCUACGCUCCGCCGCUAAGCUGUUCCCAUCUUUAAUAAUUUCCAAACAAUACAUACAAUAUUAUAUAUAAAUUUAUAUAAUAUAUAAAUCGUAUGUCAUUACAUAUUUAUUGAGCAAAUAACAAGUGAAUUCUGAGCGGAGAGAUCAGCGCGUCCGACUCGCAGCCCGCGUACCACACGAUGACAAUAAUAACAGACUUUUCCGGUUAAGAUUGCACCAGGAAGUUACAACUGAGUGUGUGCUGUGUGGCGGAGUGCUGUUAAGUAAUUGUCACCGCUUGGGAGCGACGGUACACGACAAGAGACUAUCGGCGUCACAGUAUACGUAAUUAUUUAUUAACGCUUCUUUGCAUGAUUUUUUUUAUUGGUGAAAUAAAUCAAGGUGAUAUAAUUCAUGUUCAAAAUGAAACGAAAAAUGGUUAAAAAAAUAAAUUUGACAGCUAUGUUUUUUUUUUAUACAAUGGACAUUAAAAAGACAUCCAAACACGAUCUACUUAAAGUGAACAUGUUCUUUUAUAUAAUUUUUGGGCAUUCAAUGUUAUGAUGGAAAUUUCCACCGUUAUGCAAAGAAGGUUUAAAAAGUCUGUUAAGGCCACGUCUUUGAUUGUUGGCCGCUGUGUCCAGCACGCUUCAAAUGGCCACUUAAACAAUAUUAUGUCAAUAGAUACCUACUGUAACAUUUGACGAGGGGGAAAAGGGAUUGUUAGUAAUGGGGAUUAGCACCCCUAUUACUAGCAAUAUACCCUGUCAGGUCGACCUCCUCGCGGUUCCUCCUGGAAACCAUUGAUAUAUUGACGAAUUUGUUACGAUGGGCUAACUGACCGGCUUCACCCUCACCUAUCACCCCUCACUGGUGCCCCGUCAACGUAUACUGAUAGCGCAGGCGGGGUUAUCAUUUCAUUAUCAUCCAUUAAAAAAAAAAAACAUUUGUCGAAUAAUUGCACGUUUUUUUUUAUACUACUUAGAAUGGCAAACAAGCUGACGGCCCACCUGAUGGAAAGUGAUAACCGUCGCCUAUACACAUGAGCAGUACCAUUGAAUUUCAUUGAACAUUCAGCUUCUUUAUUUCCUAGUGCAAUCUCAACGGUAACAUAUCAUAGACAACUAGGAAUGAUACAAUAGGAAUGAGUUUACAGUAUAUAGUGGCAGUCACCAGUCACAGUGGCGUGUCUGCCGCGACAUUUGUCAAGUUUGCAUUAAUAUUCCAUAUAAAUCGUCAUUAAAAGUAUCAAAACCUUAACCCGCUACCUACCUGCUAGUCAGUCGAGUUCGUCACUCAGUCCCACAUAUAUCCAAUACAGGGGGAAACGCGUUCCCGACCACUCCACCCUUCCUAUGCAAGGGUUCUCAAAGUUUAGCCUAUCGGGCCCCUGAUAAAAAAAAAGCCUUAAAACAAAGCAUUUCAUGCCCUCCUCGUCACAAUUAAUAUUUUCGAGUAUUACAUACUCAGUCAAUUAAAAAUAUAUAAAUAUAUUAAUUUAUUUGCACUAAUAAAUUAUAUAAACGUUUUUAUCUUAAUUUUAGAGCCAUCCGAUUGACUUUUACAGUCAACAAUUUCAUAAUAGAUGUAAUAAAAAUAUAUUACGUGGUCACAUGAUCAAAUAUAAGAGUUACGUUGCUGUUAUGUCAAUCUGGGGCGUACGCAGACAAACGGGGCGCGCGGGUCAAUGGCCCCGCCACUUUGAAAACCCCUGUUCCGAUGUGAGUGGACAGUAGUUGAGCAUUGUUUCAUUACAGCACUUAACAUGUCUAAAUAUACGUUUACAUGGCAGUGAGCACGAGGAGCGACUACCGUAAUCUAAACAGGUUCACAAGUACGCUCCGGCCUAAUACAUACAUACAUACGGUAAUACGGCAGGCUAUCAAAAAUACAUCUGGUCGUGUAAAUGCUUUCGAAAAUGUAGAGUUUCACUUGAAAAUUGCGGCUUCAGCGGUGCGGAGAGGGCGAGACCUGCAACACAUACAUUCAUUGUUCAAGUAUGUAUUAAACAUUGACAUCGAUAUAAAAAUAGUCUUAGACACACCACAAAGGAGUACAAAAAAAAAUAUGCAGUCUUGAUCAUCAUAUUAUCAUAUUAGCCAUUGCUGAAUGUCUGAUUGUCACUGCCCACUGCUAAACAUAGAAGGAGACCUAUGUUCAGCAUAAGGGAGGGUUUGCCAGUGGUUACCACGCUUGGCAGGCUUGGUUUGCGUCCCUCUAAAACAUCUCCAAAGCCUAACUGCGGUUGUCAAUCCGUCUGUCAAGCGUGAUUUUUUUUAUACUACUUAGAUUGGCAAACAAGCUGACGGCCCACCUGAUGAAAAGUGGUUAUCGUCGCCUAUAGACAUGAGCAGUACCAUGGACAUAACAGAGUAUACAGUUUCGAUAACGUGAUAUUCGCGUGAUAACAAUUGGCAAAACUUUCUAAGGGGGAAGCUUAUGUUUAGCACUGGAUAGUUUUUUUAAUAGUUCAUAAUGGUAUGGUAGCCCCGCUUGCGCUAUCGGUAUACGCUGGCGGGGCACCAGUGACAGAUGACAGAUGAGGAUGAAAGCAGGUCAGGUAGCCCAUCUUGACGCAUUCAACUAGAAUUAACCACGAUGGUUUCCAGGGGAAACCACGUGGAGGUCGACCUAACAGGAUAUAUUGCUAGUAAUGGGACUAUUUGACUUCAUUAAAUUAUCAUUGAUAUUCGGGUUAAAUAGUUUUAUUAUAAUUUUGUAUGUUAGCACACUAGGUUUAUAACAUUGAUUUGGCUUUUGCUGUCAUAAUGUUGUAAUUAUUUGUAAUGUAUAAAUAAA